GCCUUCGUGGUGUAGUGAUCAGCACGUUCGAGGUGUAUUCGAGAGAUCCGUGGUUCGAGUCCCGGCGAGGGCA
rnacentral:tRNA from 1 species